UCUAUGGAUGAGCAAAAAAAGUGGUUUCUUGAGAUGGAAUCUACUCCUGGUGAAGGUUAUUGAA
rnacentral:pre_miRNA from 1 species